UACGUAGGGGGCAAGCGUUGUCCGGAUUUAUUGGGCGUAAAGAGCGUGUAGGCGGCCAGAUAGGUCCGUUGUGAAAACUGGAGGCUUAACCUCGAGCUGUCGGCGGAAACCAUCUGGCUAGAGUCCGGAAGAGGAGAAUGGAAUUCCCGGUGUAGCGGUGAAAUGCGCAGAUAUCGGGAAGAACACCCGUGGCGAAGGCGGUUCUCUGGGACGGUACUGGCGCUGAGACGCGAAAGCGUGGGGAGCGAACAGG
rnacentral:rRNA from 1 species